GCACCCAUAGCUCAAUUGGAUAGAGCAUCUGACUACGGAUCAGAAGGUUAAAGGUUCAACUCCUUUUGGGUGCACCA
rnacentral:tRNA from 1 species